UUAGACACAUGAAAGGCCACAGUUGCAUGGUAUAUGAGUGGAUGGGUAGAAAUGCACUGUGAUACACAAUUUGUCUCUGUCAAUAAAGGUCCUCUUCAUUUUGUUCAUGCCUUGAACAAACUGCGGCAGCUUAGAAUGAAAUUGGUCUUAUUCUCGUUAUUGCUGAAGAUCUUUGAUUGCUGAUUUCAUCCACUCGUUCCUCAGCACUUUUCCAUAUCCAUUUAAACGGUAGAAGUAUCCUAUUACACGUCUUCGAGAGCAGCUCCUGUCAUAUCUCAGCGCGUUCCGCUCCGUUGCAUCAGCAGAUUUGGUCUUGCUUUUGUCGGAAUGACAAGACAAUGCACAACGUAAAAAAAAGAUCAUCCGUCUGUCUUUACAACAACUCGCUAUUUAGCUGUGGCUGUUUGCUUUUAUUCACUGUUGGCUCAGGAAGAGAAAAAGAAAAAGUCAUUCUUUUUCUGUAACUGUGCGUUUUAGGCCCGUAAUGACACGCUUUGACGUGACCGUUUUAAAACAGCUGUUUAAAGCAGAAUGGCCUUUUGAUUCCUCUAAUUGCACGUUCUCGUUUGUACUCUGGCACACCGUUAUUUCAUAAUUGACCUAAUUGUAGGAGGGAAGAAACUAAAGAGCAUUGCUGUUAAUUAGAGUGAUUACACAUGAAAGUAAAUGUCAAAAACAUUGGCAAUGAAAUAGAUAGAGAUACAAUACACAAAAACUGUGUUUUCUUGUUUGUGGUUACUUGUCAGCAGUCAGAGGUGGUGACUCAGACACUUUGUGCUGCUGUAGCACUGCACAGUGGUUCAUUACAAAUGUCACUUCUAUUCAGCUUCGCUUUUGCUUUUUUGUGUUUCUGCCUCGCUGUCAGCCAGUCACGUCUAGUAAAGGUGGGCUGAUUGCCACUGAUGCAGAGCAGCGCAAUUAUUUUCCUUUUUUGCUGCAGGUAUUGAUGUUUUCCCCCAUAGCAGCCAAGUCAGGUUAAGAUGGAUUAGCCGUCAGAAUAAGUCCAGGGGUCUUUGGGAGGGUCGUUGAGGGAGUGAACAUUUCUUUGUCUGUUUUCACUUCUGAUUUUUGAAGUUGCCUUUUCCCCUAAAGAAAGCAAACAUGUAAAAGGUUCUCAGAAAAUUGACUUUAUCUACAAUUUUAUCAUCACCUGUAGUUUGUGGUCAGUCACUGGAGAGUUCUUUUUCAGUUUGAACAUUUAAAAUUGAUAGAAGCGUAGUUUAGCAGUGUUUACUGCUUUUGUCUUUAAAUGUGGGCAGAGGACGAGCUCCAGAAUUCAUCCAGAUGUCGCCCUGUGAGUCAAGCGCUGGUGUCAAAUCAAACAGUGUUUUAGUCAUCAGUCUAGAGCAACAGGUAGAUCCAACAUAUCAGCUGACUGUAGUUCCACUGAACUCAAGUUAUAAAAAAUCUAUUACUUGCAAUUUGAAGUUACAAAAGGAAAAAAAAAAACAUUUUAACAGCUGCAGUACAAGUCUGUGGCAUGUCCAGUCGACUCCCAUAUUAAGUCAGCACUCACAUCUCCAGUUGUACCCUCAUGCUGUACUUUUCAAGGACAAAAUAAAGCCUGCGGCCUGGAGACACGCCCCCUCGUGUUCCCAGCUGUAGCUGUGAUCAAUGGGGAUCAAUUGGGAUGUCCCUCCUCCAGCAAUGACGUUUGCUUUACAGUCAGUGUAACUGACUUCCUUUAUUAGAUGCCUCUAAUGUAAUCCAAUACACAGCUCAACAUCAGUUCUAAUUUGGUUGUACUGUAAAGUCAAAAAUAUGGGAACAAGUGCUUUUCUCGUUUCACUGUGUUAAUGGGUUUUUUACUAGUUUAGUUUAAACUUUAACUUCCUCAUUAUAGCAAAUGUCAUCAGUAUUGCUGGAUUUGUUUUUGAAGCAAAAAGAUCUUUGAUCAGUGCCAUGAAAUAUAUUUUAGAGGCUUUAAUGUAAUGGCAGGAUUCAAUAUUAACCUGGGCAAAUUAAAUGAAAAAUGUAAAAUGAUUAGCUCUUAAAUGAAAUAGGACAAGCGCCAUGAAGGACACGACAGAGAGACCUGUGGGUCUUAAUGACACUAUGCAGGAGUCAAAAUGUCAGUUUGUCCGGAGAAAUUAGCAACGGCUUCUCCACUAUCUAUUAACUGAGUUAACAUUUCUUCUGCACCGGUGACCUUGAAACAGCCUAAUGAAUAGAUAUUUGCCUGGUUAUCUCACUCUCGCAAACACCCCUGGUUUGAAAUAUCACAGACUCCCUCCAUAUGUUGCCUGUGACAUUUCUCCGGCGCCAGCAUUCACGGCCAUGUCAGUUCAUUUGUUCAUUCAGAGGCCAUUAGGUUUGAUGGUGUUCGUCGCAAUGUGGGCGUGCACAUUUCAGCGAGCAUGCUGCUGAUUUGCGCCGCUGUCUCUCCAAGUAAUUAAAAACCACAAGGAGAGGUGGAGCGUCUAAUUGAGUUCUUUAACUGCAUUCAUGCUGAAAAAAGGCCAGAGCCGGAUUCUUUUUGACAUCAGUCCCACUCACCCACACACACACACAGACACACGCAUGAACUUACGCACACCAGCUGCUCUCUGACCAGUCAAGAGGCUGUCAAACCAUUAGUAGCUCUUGAGCUGGGGCCAGCUUCCACCUUUCCGUUCGAAUCAAAGACAAGAAAUUGUGAGAGCACCGAAAAAUCUAAACCACCACCACCGCCGUCACGUAAAAGAGCCCAUUCAACCGCCUAAGGCUCACACGCGUCCACUAUCCUUACGUCUGUUGUGUCUCCCCGGCUUCUUUCUGGUGGAAUUUGAAAUGGUGCAAGACAGUCACCAGGGAACCAAUUACUGUUUCAAAGAUUGCCUGCUUUCAUUUAUUUUUUAUAGGAGGUAUAGUGAGAGGAAGUCCUCCACCAAAGCUGCUCUCAAGCUCCCAGAACAUCCAUUCAGAGUAAGCCUUGUUCUGUAUCUAGUGCCAUGUGGUACUUUAAUAGUAAACACAAUAUUGUGAGUGUGCAUCAUUUUUCAUCAGAAUCUUUCAGAUGUUACACUGCUGCAUACAGUUUAUGCAUUCUCAAAACUAUUUGCAGUUUUCAGUUUGUCACGUUUAUUCUGCCUUUUCUUUUUGGGAGGGGGUUGUUUGUCAGACACCAGAAUCAAUUUGAAGAGCAUCACACUCGACUCCCUAAAAUCACGAAGGCCACUUAUUUACAGAUUAUUUCCCAAAUGACAACCCAAACAAAUACAAUCAAGAAAAGUAAGACUCCAUCAACCGAAAUCUAAACUGAAAUAUUAUAAUAGUCAUAUAAUUCUAUUACUGUAGGGAAAUCCUCUAGGUACAGGGGGAAGUAUAAUGUUUGGUAAUUCAAUGAAAUGCAGCUUUGCCACGCUGCAAACUCGGAACUAGCGCUGAGCAAGGGGAGGGAGAAGAAACACAUGUCAGCAAAAUGUUAAUGCUGUUCCUCAUUACUGCUGUGCUGCUGGAAAUGGCACAUGACAUAAACCAUCUCCCUCUAUUGUCAACGCAUUAUGUAUGAAGCACUGUUGUUGCAGAGCACAAGGGUGGGGAGUGGGAGGUGAGGGUGAGUUAUGGGAAUAAUCCGGUGGUGCCGUACCGUAGGUAGUUGUGCUCAAGGCUCAUGUCCCUUUGCUAUAUAUUUCUGCCUCUUUCAUCACAGUUUCACUGUGUGUGCCUCAUACAUGUAAAGCAGAAUUUUGGACGGCGAGAGGGCGAAAGAGUCAAAAGAACGGAGGAAGGGCAGAUGAGCGACGGUAGUGAAGGCAGUGAAACAGAAAGACUGUUUUUAUUCUAUUAAAUCUUUAUUUAUUCUGUGAAUGUUGACCAAGUGGGUGUGUGGGGCGCUUUUUCUCCAGCGUCCCUGUUCUUUUGUUGCUCCUUGACCAGUAUGCAGCUCACUGGAACAACUGGAGCUUAACUGCUCUACAGCAUCACCUUGACGACAGUAUCUAAGGCAGCAGGUAGCGAAUAAUUCAAACCACAUUUUUUGAUUAUUCGGUAACAUUCAUGUCACAGAGCAGCUUCAUUCGACCAUCACAACAUCAGGUAUCAGAAGAAUGUUUGCACAUUAUGUUUCUAAUGUUGAGAGAUGUCAAUUAAGUGGAACGUGUCUUCCUGAGUUGCCCCAAAUGAACACAUGCUGGGGUCAAACAGAAAAUGGCUGCUUAGAAUGUUUUCCUAAUGCUUGCUUGUGAUGGGUGAAUGGGGGAAGAUGGAGUCAGGCUGAGGGCGCCGGACACUGGUUAUAAUAAUGGCUCAAACAAAGGUCACAGCCAUAUAUGCCCGCUUCUAAUGUGAGUGGAGGUGUGUAAUUGAGAUGUUAAUGGGGAGGAUAAUGAUCCACUGCACUGUUUCCAUCGUUGUGCCCUCCCCCUAUACACACACACGCACACCGCUACUCUCCCGUAAAGCCGCUACCGACAGACGCAGAAAAGUGAGACCAUUAUUACAUGCAGAGUUAACAGGACCCCAAGCAUAUCAUUAUGGUGCGAGUGAAGGGAGUUAUUACUAUUUGUAGGCAGCAGCUGACAGGGCUCUUGGCCUGUGCUGUCAGACCACCAAUUUACAUUCAGGCGCUGGCCACCGCUCCCAGUGGCGCUGGUCUCAAUUCUACGCUUUGUUGCAUACGCAUUUCCAGAAAAAAAGAGGGUCAAAUAUCCACGCUAGAAUACAAAGUUUAGUCUUCUUGCUCAUUGUCAAAACGUAUGCUCUGGGGUAAAGGUCGAGGUUACUUCAUAACCUGUUUAACAUUAAAGCCAGCAGUUGUUGUCUCUUUAAUUGAUCACAUUUUUAAAAAUGUAGGUUUGGAAUGAGAAUCAUGAAUGUUUGUGAAAGUUAAAUGUUUAAUACUUUUUGUCCAAAACUUGAUCUUUUUGUGUUCUUAUUUCAAUGUUAUAUAAAUGCAAAUGCUUUGAAUAUAUUUGGCAGGUCUGGUUCUUUUUUUUUUUUUUUUUUUUUUGCAACCGAUGCCAUGACAUAACCCGUAGACACUGCAGUUUCCUCCCAUGAAAUUGUGUGUAACAACAUGUUGGCAGAAAUGUGUUUGAAUCAGAUUAUGGCCAAAGACCUUUACCUGUUCCUAACAGGCUCAGGUGAAGGAGGUGUGAACAGCCUACUGUUGUGGCCUCCUGUUAGCUGCGUCACACCACUCGGCUGGUCUCUUUCCAAGAUAUACUGUGCGUAUUUUAGUAGUCUCUGUGCCGUGACUCAUGUACAUGAUGAUAACGGUGCACACUUUUAUUGUCUCUUAUGCAUUCAGGGUCUUGUGUUUUUAAAACGAAGUAGUUGUGUGAGGGAUGAAGCUUUAUUUAUUUAAUUCUCAGAAAUGUUAUUAUUUAAUUUUGAUAUAUCAUAACUAGAGAUAUUGUUCAAAAAGACUAAUCUGCUGUAUGAAUAGACAUGAGAUCCCUUGUAGACAGACCACCGAAGCAGCAAAUGCAUCAUUCAUAAUGAGCUUUGACAGCCCCUUUCUAGUCAGAGGAAGUUCAUGUCUUACUGGGACUACUGGUGCCUUGAUCCACAACAUGAGCGAGAAAGGAGGCGAAAAGUGUGCCACACACUGUUCGAAUUAGCCCCUACCAUCCUCCUGAAACCUGCUGGGUAUGACAGCAUGACACUAUUUUUAAAAAUGCCGUCAUCUAGAUCACACGCAAGUAAGCCCCCUCCCCCCAAACCCCCACUCCUCAGUGAUCUCUGCGAUCUGUGCCCCACCCUUCUACACUCAGUGGGGAGCCUCGCUUACGGUUGCAUCAGAAAAGUAACUCUUCAUGAAUAUUGAAAAGGCUUUUUAGCAUGCAGUGUGUAUUUUGCAGUUUGUCUUGAGAUUUGGGCUGUUGAGAGACUCAGCUUCUAUCCUUCAACUGCAUCUAAAUGCAAAAUCUAUAAAGGUGCUCACAAUAUACAAGGGUCAAAGUAAUGUGAUUCAUCUGAAGGCGCCAAAAUACUGCAUGAUGAUGUAUAAUUAAAUGAAAUCAAAUCUAGAAAUGUAUUUACUUUUUAAUUAUUUUUACUUCGUCCAAGUCAAAAUAUUCAGAAACAGUCCUCAUUAGCUCUUGUUCCAGUUGAUCAAGGAUAAGAAACAGUGUGAUAACUAAUAAGCUAUUUUCAGCAUGAAUGCACAAAGGGUAGUUUAUGCAAUAAAUGGUAAAUGGUCUGUACUUAUUUACCGCUUUAACCACCAUUCCAGGAUCCAAAGCAUUGUACACUACUUCUCAUUCACCCAUUAGCAUUCACACACAGAUGCCAGUGGCUGCCAUGCACCGGCGCUCGUUUGAAACAUCAGGGGCAAGGUAGGGUUCAGUUUCUUGCCCAAGGACCACUGCGAGGGCUCGAACUGCCAACCUUGCAGUUAGAGGACAAACUCCCUACUGACAAUAAUUUGGGUGUGUAAUCCAGGAUUAAAAAUUGAACAGCAACUGCCAUCCUAAAUGCAAAUAAGGUUUUGCUGUAGCGGAGGGUUUUAUUGGCAAAUAAAUAACUUUCCUUUUGCUCAACAGACGUCGAUCUGCCUAUAUGUAUGAUAACUGCUCUAAUUAUUACUUUUCAGUCUGAUCAGUUCAUGCUAUGAGGAAUGAACAGAUGCAGUAGCAAUAAUGAAGCAGGAAUAACUUAUUAGAGUCGUCAGUAUAGUUUUAGUAUUCAUCUUUGCUUGUGCUUUAUAUAAUACUAUUAUCUUAAUAACGUGGCGUCCAUUUUGAAACGAUCCUGAAUCAAGUUACAUUGUCUUCUUCUAUGGUGUCUAUGGCAGGCAGCAAAGGCGAAAUCAUGCUGGGUCACGAAGAAGAACAAGAAGACUGUGUGCGUUACGCAAGUCUCCGGCAGUUAUUCAAGUGAAUCUCUGAAUUUACGCACUGACAGGGAGAGAUGAGACAAGGCAAGAUAGAGUCAGAGAGCAGGAACCAGAAUUGUUUUGGCAAUGCUGAUGUGGUGAGUGCAAAUCCAUGGUGGCGCCAGAGGACACCUGGUCUCAUAUGUGGAUGGAAGACAGCGUGCAGAAGCCAGGGGGUUCACUCUGAGGAGAAAGCUAGUGGCCCUGUUACCUUCAUGUAGCGCCACACAACCUGCAAGCUCGGAGGGAUGGAUGUACCAGACACCAGCAAACAUGGCAAGAAGUCGACAAGUCAAAAACUGGAGGACCAAAAGAAGGGUGGUUCCUGUGGUCAUGCUUCUCAUUUCGAGGACUCCCAUUGCGCCAUGGGAAGAGCCCUCAAGGUCACAACAAACAAGGCUUGUGUGCGACCACAUAAUGAGAGUUUCUUCCGCAUCAUGGCCCGACGGAUCACAAAGACCAUAGCUUGGCCUUGGAUGGAAACGCUCUAUCUGCCCCUUCAGAUAAACAUACUGUCUGGACGGAAAACAGUGUUUCUCAUUUCUAAUUUUGUUCCUAUUUGUGGGACUGUUGCCUGAGGGGCCAUAUUACUCUGUUCUAGUCAGUUUAACAAGAAUUUAAUAUAGAAUACUUUAUUUUUAAUGAUUGAGACCUCAGAGAAUAAUUCAAAAAUCAUUACAGAAAGGCAAGUUUGAAUCUAAUUUGUACCUUAACUCAGAUUGAAAUGGGGUCACCCUAGGAUUAGGAGGUUCCUGUAUGGACUUAGGUUAACCCCCUAACCCCUAAUGGACCCACUCCUAUUAGUCUUUACAGUAUGAUAUUUUGCCCUGAGACUUGAAUGUAGCUGAGUGGAAUUUGGAGCACAAAAUACUAAUUUUCCUUCUUGAUGACGUGACAAACCAGAUUUUUUUCAUUCCUUUUUAGUCAGAAUACUGAAAGAUACUUUUACUAUAACAGGCUGUUAAAGGCCCUCUUGUGUUUUUAUUUCAGAAAAAAAUUGGAUCCGUUAAACAAUUUACUGAAGUGGUAUUGUUGAUUUGAUCUUGAGACCCUGUCACUAUGUGCAACCUGAUGCUGCAGUGUUAACAAGAUGGAUUUUCUAUUGUACGGUCUGAACCUUGCUGUCAGCCUCUUAACAUCAUUAUUAUUUUCAUACUGCGAGGACGGCCUGGGAACUUAAACUUUAGCAUCACUUAUCUUAAGGUGGACUGUUGUCAUUUACAUGUACACUAUUUGCACUUACGGAAGGAAGUAGCUGGCCUGUAGAUACUCCAGGUUGUAUUAAACACUCUCUGUUGCAGUAAGAGUAGUACACACUUCAAAAAACUGGGUAGACAGAAAACACAGAGGUUGAAUAGUUGUUAAGGGAUAGUGGGAUUUAACUUUUUCUGCAGUGUGUCAAGAGGAAGGGCAUUUUGGGGGUGAGGGAGGGAGGUGUUAAUGAAAACUGCAAGAGUCAAAUUCUGUGUACUGGAAAUGAGAACUAAAUCAGUAAUGUACAAGUCUACCAGUCUCUACCAGUCUUAAAGGUACUGUACAGUAUUUCAUGGCAAGUUUGUACGAUAAUUGCUAUGUGUAUUAGAGCACUCCACCGCCACUAAAACCUGGUUGUUGUGACUUAAUUGAACCACUUCCCUUCAACAUGGAAUGUGCCAGUUUGAAGUAUGGUUGAACGGCACCUCAGACAAUUCCAACAUCUAGCUGCACUUGAGUGGUCAUUUGCAUCUGUACGAGAAGUGAGAGGAAAGUAAAGAGGCAGUGCAUCACACUGACAACAUACUGUAGACAGGAUGAGAUCAGCAUGAUUAAGUGUCACUGAGAACCGGGUUAACCUUCAAGUACAAUUGCAGAAACUUGGAAUCCACAGAAACUGUUCUUUGCCAAAUCAAAGCAACACUAAGAAAAAGCUGAUGAAGACUUAAUUUCUAAGUGAUAGCAAUAACCAUUUAUUACUUGGCAAAGGCUAACAACAAGUUUGCCAAGGGCAUGUGUUAAGGUAUGUAUUAUAAUGAAUAAAAGGGUAUCAGGCCUGCAUGGUGUAUUCCACAUGGUAAACAGUACCUCACUAUCUUAGCACCUCUUUGAAAACCACAGUACAGCGGCAACACAGAGCGCACGUGGUGGCAAUAACAGAAUAAUCUCUGCUGAAGAACCAAAGCACUGAAUUAUUCAACAGAUUCAGAACAAAAUGUGUGCUGAACUGGCCAAUUUACCUCAGCUCUGAAUUUAAAGCUUUUUUUUCCUAUAAACAUAACAACAAUGGAUUUUUUAGAUUACUGUUUGAGGCACUGUCCUGCCUACUUUGCACAAACUUUACAUAUAUUAUCAAAGAAACAUCAGAUAUCUGUCACUUUAGAAGUUGUCAAGCAUAUCAGUGUAAAUAUAACAUAACUGCUCUUGGGGAUAGCGGAAGGAUGUUUUCAGGUUCCUUUUAUUUGCUGCACCAUUACUGCGGUUAGUUCUUUAGCAGCGUCAGCUGUGUAAACCACUUUAGUUUUUGGCUGCAAUAUAUAUAUAUAUUGAGGCAAUAGGCCGUGAAAUAACUGCAGUUUGGGUGGAAAGCGGCGCUUUGAGGGCUGGUUUAAGUGCCUUGUACGGGUUGGAUCUCGAUUUUGUGCUGCAUUGUCGGCUGGAUAACAAGAAGGUAAAUGUUAUUUGCUGAGGGCAUGAGGUGAAAUUGUCAAAUACAAUUUGCACCAGUGUUGCCAGGUGUUACCAGGUCACUGAUACCAGGUCCAAAAUACCAGGUCACUGAUUACCAUUGAUUUUUAUCAGCCCCUUUGCUCAAAUCCAAAAGGCAGCUUGAGCGAAGAGUACGAUGUGCCUUUUAAUCUACGAUGUUUCCUCUGCAGCCAAGUAGCCCACAAAGAACACAGACAUUGAUCCUGGGAGUAUUUUUCUCUUUUCUGUUUUUUAAAAACAGAAUGCCUCAUUUUUGUUUUAUCACCUGAAUAUUGACUUUGCUGGAUCAACUGUCACCCAGCUGGCCUCACUCACCAGCCUCUGGAUCGUCAGAGCUGUUUCCUACUUACUUCUGGAGCAGUCUGUCAUGGGGGGGACCCAUGGUAAAAUGUCACCCGUGCCACCUUUCUGCACCUCGGCUCAGCUAAACAACCGCUGUGAUAUUUGUGGCAAGGUUGCAUACUUUGACACCGUCUCCUUGGUUCACUGUCGGGAUGUCGUUCCUUUCCUUGUGGUGUACGCGGUGCUGGCAGCGCAUAUGUGUGGGAGACAGACGUUGUUGACAGUGACCCACUUCCCAGCAUGCUCUCCUGUGGUGGGUGACAGAGCAGCAGUUGGCUCGAAGAGUGAAUAACGCUCACCUGCUGUCAGGGAGUGUGAGUGGGACUUGCUAAGGCUAAAACUACAGCACACAAAACCUUCUGUAACUCGCGUUCUGACUCGCAAAGUCCUUGUCCUUGUGUUCAGUUUCAUUUGUGGUUUUGGUGAUUGACAGGUCUGACAUUUAGAAGUAUGAUCUAUGAUUUGAUUUUAUGAUACAUAAAAUCUAUCUAAUAAUAAUUAAUCUUAACUCAAGUUGUUAAAAGGCCUAAAAUUAUCAGAAUAGUGGAUAUAGGGUAGUUUAAGCAAUUAGAAAACUUUAAGCAAGUUAAAGCAAGAAUGAAUACACUACAGAUAAAAUAUAUUUAUAUAAGAGGGAAUAUUAGUGCACGGUUAGAUGUCAGCAGUCAGCAACAG